CCCUCCCUCCCGGCUUCUUCUCUGGACCAGAGCGCCCAGAGGUAGAAAGGAACCAGGAUGUUUCCCCAGCAUAAACCACUCUUGGCCUAGGAUGGAGGUCAGCGGAGAUACCCCCGGGGCUAGAACUCCCCGAAAUUUGUUCCAAAUAUCUAAGUUGGAGGCUUCAGAUAUAACUUGUCCCCGGAACACUGCCUUGAACGCCUCCCAAAUGUUACCCUGUGAUGCCUCACAAUUUUCAUUGAA